rnacentral:lncRNA from 1 species
AUGCUGUCCUCACCUUUACAUGAACAAUUGUCCAGAGGACACCUAGGAUGCUGCCCAGCAAGCUGCCUCAAAAAUAUACAUCUGCAAGACAUUACAAAGGUUGGAAGGAAAAGUACGCCCAGCACCCAUGUUGGGACAGGUCUCGCCUUGAUGGAAGUUGCAAAGUAUGGAAUGGGGAGGCCGUGGGAGUUGCCCUUUGUGAGCCUGCUUCAGGCCGAGGAAGACGAGGUCUCUGCACUCCUCCUAAGGUCUUUAACUCCUUCUGAAGCUGUUUUAUAGGUCUGGUUGCUGUACAGUCACUUGGAUGAUAGGUGUGCAAUUAAAUUUUCAAGAUGGCGGAUGCAGUGGGUUAAACUUCAUUUCCCCCAAAGAUGCGUCCGAGUCCUAAACCCUGGUAGCUGCGAAUGAAACUCAUCGAAGGAUGAGAUCAUCCUGGGUUAGAGUGGGUCUUAAAUCCAAUGACUGGUGUCCUGGUAAGAGACAGAUCAUGAGGAGACACAGGGAGAAGGCCACGUGAAGAUGGAAGCAGAGCUUGGAGGGAAGCGGCCACAAACCUUGGAGUAGCAGCAGGCGCUGGAAGCUGGAGGAGGCGGGGAACGACUGAGGAGGGAGUGUGUGGCCCUGCGGAUGCCUUGAUUUCAGACACCUCCUUCCAGGACUGUGAGGAAAUAAAUAUCUGCUGUUUUAACCCCUCUGUUGUGAUUAUUUGUUAGGACAAUCUGAGGAUAUUCUUACGACAGGCAGAGAAGAGCUUGUUUUCAUAGGAGAAAAUCUUCGACCUUCAGUUGGGUCUUCCUUCUGGAAUUUACAGUUGGUUUGCAGACACUCUGACCUUUGUCUUUACAGACUGAA